rnacentral:siRNA from 1 species
UUACUUAUCGACUCAUGGUUC